rnacentral:rRNA from 1 species
GAUGAACGCUAGCGGCAGGCUUAACACAUGCAAGUCGAGGGGCAGCAAGGAUUGUGCUUGCACAAUCUGUUGGCGACCGGCGCACGGGUGCGUAACGCGUAUGCAAUCUACCUUUAACAGGGGGAUAACACUGAGAAAUUGGUACUAAUACCCCAUAGUACUUUUGAAGGCAUCUUUAGAAGUUGAAAGUUCCGGCGGUUAGAGAUGGGCAUGCGUUGUAUUAGCUAGAUGGUGAGGUAACGGCUCACCAUGGCGACGAUACAUAGGGGGACUGAGAGGUUAACCCCCCACAUUGGUACUGAGACACGGACCAAACUCCUACGGGAGGCAGCAGUGAGGAAUAUUGGUCAAUGGACGCAAGUCUGAACCAGCCAUGCCGCGUGCAGGAUGACGGCUCUAUGAGUUGUAAACUGCUUUUGUAUCAGGGUAAACCUUAGUACGUGUACUAAGCUGAAAGUAUAAUACGAAUAAGGAUCGGCUAACUCCGUGCCAGCAGCCGCCGUAAAAC